rnacentral:rRNA from 1 species
GACGAACGCUGGCGGCGUGCUUAACACAUGCAAGUCGAACGGAAAGGCCCCUUUGGGGGUACUCGAGUGGCGAACGGGUGAGUAACACGUGAGUAACCUGCCCUUGACUUCGGGAUAACUUCAGGAAACUGGGGCUAAUACCGGAUAGGAAUCCUUGCUGCAUGGUGGGGGUUGGAAAGCUUCGGCGGUUUUGGAUGGACUCGCGGCUUAUCAGCUUGUUGGUGGGGUAGUGGCUUACCAAGGCUUUGACGGGUAGCCGGCCUGAGAGGGCGACCGGCCACAUUGGGACUGAGAGACGGCCCAGACUCCUACGGGAGGCAGCAGUGGGGAAUAUUGCACAAUGGGCGGAAGCCUGAUGCAGCAACGCCGCGGGCGGGAUGACGGCCUUAGGGUUGUAAACCGCUUUCAGCAGGGGCGAAGCUUGUGGUGACGGUACCUGCAGAAGAAGCACCGGCUAACUACGUG